rnacentral:lncRNA from 1 species
CAACCGUCCCCUCAGCCCCAUUUUUAAAGCCUAGCCCUGUGUGACAAUAGGAAGAAACGCCAUCGCCCUUUGUGUCCAUUCCCAUCUCUGUGCCCUCAGCAACACAUUUAAGUAAGAUGUACAUCAAACCCACCCAAAUGGUUAUCAGUGUGGGAGGCCACAGGGUUAACUGGGGAUCAGGCAGAUGACAGACAGACAGACAGCAGGAAGCGGGGCCUUGCUUGGACAGGGAUGCCAUGGGCUGUGGUCCUGGACAGAAGUGUGAUGCCCUCGACCCUCACCGGAGGCCCGAGCCCUCCUGUCUGACCCAGGUGUCCUUCCCUGUGGUGGUGGGUCCCGGGCUCCCCUGCAGAGGCCCACCACAGAUGCCAUUUAUGCCUCACACUUUCCUGGGCUUUCACAGUUCCCUUGGAAACAAGUGUCAUUGGUCCCACACCUGACGCCUGAACUAUUAGAAAGAAAAGCAGAAAAAGGGGCUGGGGAUGUGGCUCAAGCGGUAGCGCGCUCGCCUGGCAUGCGUGCAGCCCGGGUUCGAUCC